rnacentral:rRNA from 1 species
AGUGGCGGACGGGUGAGUAACGCGUGAGAAUCUACCCUCAGGAUGGGGACAACAGUUGGAAACGACUGCUAAUACCCAAUGUGCCGAGAGGUGAAACUUAUAUGGCCUGAGGAAGAGCUCGCGUCUGAUUAGCUAGUUGGUGGGGUAAGAGCCUACCAAGGCGACGAUCAGUAGCUGGUCUGAGAGGAUGAUCAGCCACACUGGGACUGAGACACGGCCCAGACUCCUACGGGAGGCAGCAGUGGGGAAUUUUCCGCAAUGGGCGAAAGCCUGACGGAGCAAGACCGCGUGAGGGAGGAAGGCCUACUGGUUGUAAACCUCUUUUGAUAGGGAAGAACACAAUGACGGUACCUAUCGAAUCAGCCUCGGCUAACUCCGUGCCAGCAGCCGCGGUAAUACGGAGGAGGCAAGCGUUAUCCGGAAUUAUUGGGCGUAAAGCGUCCGUAGGUGGUUUGUCAAGUCAGCUGUUAAAGCGUGGAGCUUAACUCCAUAAGGGCAAUUGAAACUGACAGGCUAGAGUGCGAUAGGGGCAAGGGGAAUUCCCAGUGUAGCGGUGAAAUGCGUAGAUAUUGGGAAGAACAUCGGUGGCGAAAGCGCCUUGCUGGGUCUGCACUGACACUGAGGGACGAAAGCUAGGGGAGCGAAAGGGAUUAGAUACCCCUGUAGUCCUAGCCGUAAACGAUGGAUACUAGGCGUU